UACGUAGGGUGCAAGCGUUUGUCCGGAAUUAUUGGGCGUAAAGAGCUCGUAGGCGGCUUGUCGCGUCGGCUGUGAAAACCUGGGGCUCAACCCCGGGCCUGCAGCCGAUACGGGCAAGCUAGAAUUCGGUAGGGGAGACUGGAAUUCCUGGUGUAGCGGUGAAAUGCGCAGAUAUCAGGAAGAACACCAAUGGCGAAGGCAGCUCUCUGGGACGGUACUGACGCUGAGACGCGAAAGCGUGGGGAGCGAACAGG
rnacentral:rRNA from 1 species